UUGAACGCUGGCGGCAUGCCUUACACAUGCCAGUCGAACGGCAGCACGGGUGCUUGCACCUGGUGGCGAGUGGCGAACGGGGGAGUAAUACUUCGGAACAUGUCCUGUAGUGGGGGAUAGCCCGGCGAAAGCCGGAUUAAUACCGCAUACGAUCUACGGAUGAAAGCGGGGGACCUUCGGGCCUCGCGCUAUAUGGUUGGCCGAUGGCUGAUUAGCUAGUUGGUGGGGUAAAGGCCUACCAAGGCGACGAUCAGUAGCUGGUCUGAGAGGACGACCAGCCACACUGGGACUGAGACACGGCCCAGACUCCUACGGGAGGCAGCAGUGGGGAAUUUUGGACAAUGGGCGAAAGCCUGAUCCAGCAAUGCCGCGUGUGUGAAGAAGGCCUUCGGGUUGUAAAGCACUUUUGUCCGGAAAGAAAUCCUUGGCCCUAAUACGGUCGGGGGAUGACGGUACCGGAAGAAUAAGCACCGGCUAACUACGUG
rnacentral:rRNA from 1 species